GCCCGGUUAGCUCAGUCGGUGGAGCAUCAGACUUUUAAUCUGAGGGUCGCGGGGUUCGAGUCCCCUACCGGGCG